AUUGAACGCUGGCGGCGGGCUUAACACAUGCAAGUCGAGCGCCCCGCAAGGGGAGCGGCAGACGGGUGAGUAACGCGUGGGAAUCUACCCAUCUCUACGGAAUAACGCAUGGAAACGUGUGCUAAUACUGUAUACGUCCUUCGGGAGAAAGAUUUAUCGGAGAUGGAUGAGCCCGCGUUGGAUUAGCUAGUUGGUGGGGUAAAGGCCUACAAAGGCGACGAUCCAUAGCUGGUCUGAGAGGAUGAUCAGCGACACUGGGACUGAGACCCGGCCCAGACGCCUACGGGAGGCAGCAGGGGGUAAUAUUGGACAAUGGGCGCAAGCCUGUUCCAGCCAUGCCGCGUGAGUGAUGAAGGCCCUAGGGUUGUAAAGCUCUUUCACCGGUGAAGAUAAUGACGGUAACCGGAGAAGAAGCCCCGGCUAACUUCGUGCCAGCCGCCGCGGUAAAAC
rnacentral:rRNA from 1 species